rnacentral:tRNA from 1 species
GCCGGAAUGGCGGAACUGGUAGACGCAGCAGACUUAAAAUCUGCCGCCCCAACGGGCAUGCGGGUUCAAGUCCCGCUUCCGGCACCA